GGACGCCGGAGCAUUUCAGCUGCUUAUCCCAUACCCCACUGCGACCAAAGGCCAGCAGAGGGUGUCCCCAGCUGAGAGUAGAGGCUGGAUGCAAAGCAGACAUCUGUCAUAGUGGCACUAGAAGCCUGGGGCUGUGCAGGAAGAAGUCAGGGUACAGGAAUCAACAGCAGGAGUCACUGGGAAGGGCCCCUCAUCUCUACAGCAGCCCUUCUGCUGUGCUGCACUGCUCCCCCGCCCAGCCAGGCGCCGCUUCUGUGCUCCAGAAGGAAGAAGGAUGCACAAGGAUGGAUGGACGAGCGCUGAUCUGAGCUCCUGGCUGCUGCUGGGCCUCGUCCUGCUGCUGGGCAGUGCUGCACAAAGCUAUCUCAGCCAGGGCUGCUCUGAGACGAGCUCCCAAUUCAGGGAGUUCCCACCUUCCUUUCUUUACGCUUCUCCCUUUUUAAAUCAGUCCAGAUCUCAGAAGCAGGGCUGGGCAGCGGCAGAGCACUGCAGUGUUUUGCUGUGCAGAUCCCCCCAGCACAGGACCUGCAGUCCAGCUCUGCUGCUGGUAGGAAAUCAGAUCAAUUCCUGGCAUUCCAGCUUGGCCUGGCCAUGCAGCUUUUACUCAUUGCUGCUCUCUUAAUUAGACUGCAAUCCCUUACAGGCAGGACAUUAAUGUAUCAUGUUAUAUUUUGCAUUUCUUUGUUUUCACUGCAUGAAAAAUCAAAACAACAUGUAGCUGAAGGACAGACUGUGUAGGUUCCUAUUUCUUGCUCCCACUUCAGUGCCCUCUCUUAGGCAUUCUCUAAAUUAAUUCUUUAUCCUUUAUCCAGCACUGAUCAAACACAGGUGUUUCAUGGAGCAAACCCUGCAGCAGACAGCUGGAGCUUGACCUUCCUUUCAUGUCAAUAGGAAAACUCUCAGAACUGAGCAUAAGCCAAUCUCUAUGUAAACUCCCUCAUUAGUCUUCAACAAUUAGAGGCUGAUAGAUGGCCUGAAGGGUGAGAUACCCCACCUAUUAGUGGGGCUGCUCUGAACACCUCACUCCUCCUUAGCCCUGAGUGCCUGGUAGAAACACAACAGGUGAUCUUGCAAAAAAAGUCAAUACUGUUACAAUUCAGUUGUUUUCCUUUAGAAUUAUUACGUAUCUUCUCUUAUACUUCACACAUAUUUGGAAAACAAGAACGCUCAGCUUUUAAUUAAAUUGCACCAGAACAAAUAUUUUUAUUGCUGCACUGAAAGCUGUGGAUCUGCCCAAGCCAAAUUCCAUUUAAUGUUUCUUUAACGACCUUUGAGACAGCUUAGCCACAUUCUGGUGAGUGUUCAAGUGAGAUGGCAUUUGUUAGAUCGCAGCUGUUUAAGCCCAGCAUGACUUUGCUACCCCAACCACAAGUGUUAACACUGCCCCGGGUACCGAGACAGCUGAUCCUGGUUUCUCUGCUUAUUGCAGAAAGUAAUGGUACUGGAAAAUGAGGUGGCAGGGAAGUUCAAGCAGUUGUGCCAGCACUACUCAGGCUGCCUGCAGAUCUUAGUGCUGCAGUAUGCCUUUGUGGGCAGCUCCGAGGUGGAUACGUGAGAGUGGCUCCCACUGAACCACUUGAAUAUAGAUGCAGCUGGGUUUCUGAAUUUGCAUUCAAGGAUGUUGUAAGAGGAGGCUGUGACCUGAAGUACACAGAUGUCCAGGGGAAAAGUCUGAGAGCUGCUUCUGGAGAAAGGAAUCUGGCAGAGCGCGGAGCAGAGCGCGGCCCUGGUGCAUCCUGCAUGGGGCUUCUCAAAAAGCACGGAGCCAUUAUCCCUUUCCCACAGGCUUUCCUGUUUACUUCAAUGACAACAUCAAACUGUAAAUUUAAUUUAAAAAAUCUAAGGAUCUGAGGUCCUUUUACUCGAUUUUAAAGCAAAACAAAGAAAAUCGCUCCGUUGUCAUUACGGAGGCAAUACUGCAGGGCAUCUGCUGGCGAGAGCACGUGGCUAACUGAUAGCAGAAUCGGGGCUGCUUUGCCUGUAAUGGUACUAUUGCUAGCCUGCUGACUUCAUGAAAGGAAUUGUCUUUCUCUCUUCUGACAGGAGAAGAAGAUAACUGCUUCCUUUGUCCAGUGGGUAUUUUUCUGUGUCCAGCAAAAAAAUCUUUACGUUACUUUACUGGCUUUAACUGUGAAAAAGAACUGUUUGAUAAAAGAUGCACUGCUAACCAGAGAGAGAUGCUUAACACAGGGUAACCUUUGCUUUGUCCUGUGCCAUGUGUAGUUCAGCAGUGCUGGAUCACUCCAACCCACAGGACUCUGUUCUGGCAGCCCUGAGCUGUGCUGUUCUGCAGGUGCUGUGACUGCACCUGAAAAAGCAUGCAACUUCCCUUGGCACUGCCUCUAUUAUCUGCAGUCACGGAGCCUGCGUGUCCUGAUUCCCAGUGCAAUGAAUCAUCAGACAAUGCUGUCUGUGCUGCUUGUGUCGUUUUCUGUUUUAUUAAUGGCCAAUGCCUUUCAUAGAUAUUUUCCACACGACUGCAAGAACCAAACCAACAGAAGAUGUCACAAUUCAUUAGGCACCAAGUGACUUUCUAGCUUAUCUGAAACUGAUGAAAAACCUGCCUUCUUGUUAAGACAGCUGAUCUGGAAUUUUGUCCAAAAGAUGAUACAAUCCGGAAUGCUGUCUGUAAUACUAACCACCAGACCCUGUCAGAUACCAAGGGUGCUAUUAUAUGUUCUGCAACUGCACAUCAAAAUGAAUCCAGAGAGAACAGCUCUGGUUCUCUCGACAUGCACCCUGACGCACAGAAUUCUCUCCUGAGAAAAACUGCCAACACAUCUGCUUUCUGAAUUUGCAGAAUUCUGUGGCUACACUAAUUUAUGGACACGUAUCAGUAUGAAUUGCUCUAAUGACAGGGUUUCAAAUUUAUACACAGGAAUUGGAAAUCUUUUUUUUCAGUGGUUUGAAUGAUAGAAAACUAAAAAAAAAUUAGUAAGUCCUAGAACACAAACCCUCAUUCCUCUACAUUGGAAGAAAAGCCCAUACAUCUAAACAAACCACCUAUUCUCAAUACACCAUUACCUACUGGGAACAGUGAACCAUCGUAUCCAAGAUCUGACAUCUGUACUGUUCAGCAUUUCUCAUGACACUUUAUGGAAUGCCCGGAUGGGCUGGAGCUCUCAAUGACAAUGGUUUAUUCAUUUCAUUUUUACACUGCAAAGACACGAAUAAACCUCUCAUACUUCAUCACAACCAUCUGGAAAACCCUGCUUUGAAGGGCAUUCUAAUUCUCAUAAUUGUCAGGCUGUACGUUUGGAAGGCAAUAGGAACGUUCUCCUCUUGAUGGUGUGUAUGGUGUGCUUUUCUGGGGGAGGCCUGAGUAUGAAAAAUAAACAAAACAACUUCAAUUAUUA